rnacentral:rRNA from 1 species
AGAGUUUGAUCAUGGCUCAGAACGAACGUUGGUGGAGGGGAUUAGGCAUGCAAGUCGAACGAAUCCCACCCUUGUAGCAAUACCGGGGUGGGGGAAGUGGCGAAAGGGGCAGUAAUGCGUGGGUAACCUACCCCGGGGAUGGGCAUAGCCGUUCUAACGAGCGGGUAAUUCCCAGCGAUUCGGCGAGGGGGCAUCUUCUUGCCGGGAAAUGAGUUUCGCCUCGGGAGGGACUCACGUGCUAUUAGCUUGUUGGUGAGGUAACGGCUCACCAAGGCAAAGAUGGCUAGCGGGUGUGAGAGCACGACCCGCGCCACUGGCACUGAGACACUGGCCAGACACCUACGGGUGGCUGCAGUCGAGGAUCUUCGUCAAUGGGCGCAAGCCUGAACGAGCGACGCCGCGUGUGCGAUGAAGGCCUUCGGGUUGUAAAGCACUGUCGAGGGGAACGAAGCCGAAAGGUUGACCGAUCCCUGGAGGAAGCACGGGCUAAGUUCGUGCCAGCAGCCGCGGUAAGACGAACCGUGCGAACGUUGUUCGGAAUCACUGGGCUUAAAGGGCGCGUAGGCGGCUCGCGAGGUCGGGGGUGAAAUCCCACAGCUCAACUGUGGAAGUGCCUUCGAUACCGGCGGGCUGGAGGAAGGUAGGGGUGCGCGGAACUUCUGGUGGAGCGGUGAAAUGCGUUGAUAUCAGAAGGAACGCCGGCGGCGAAAGCGGCGCACUGGACCUUUUCUGACGCUGAGGCGCGAAAGCCAGGGGAGCAAACGGGAUUAGAUACCCCGGUAGUCCUGGCCCUAAACGAUGGGCACUAGGUUGUGGGCACAUCAUGGGGCUCACAGCCGAAGCAAAAGUGUUAAGUGCCCCGCCUGGGGAGUAUGGUCGCAAGGCUGAAACUCAAAGGAAUUGACGGGGGCUCACACAAGCGGUGGAGCAUGUGGCUUAAUUCGAGGCUACGCGAAGAACCUUAUCCUAGGCUUGACAUGUGCGAAAGCGCUGGGGGAGUAGGCGCGUGAAAGCGUUGCCCAACGGUAUCCAGUCCGGAUCCCAGUACAGGUGCUGCAUGGCUGUCGUCAGCUCGUGUCGUGAGAUGUCGGGUUAAGUCCCAUAACGAGCGAAACCCUUGUCUCUAGUUGCGAACGGGUCAAGCCGAGCACUCUAGAGAGACUGCCGGUGUCAAACCGGAGGAAGGCGGGGAUGACGUCAAGUCCUCAUGGCCUUUAUGCCUAGGGCUGCACACGUGCUACAAUGGCGUGAACAAAGGGACGCAAGCCCGCGAGGGGAAGCAAAUCCCAAAAAACACGCCCCAGUUCAGAUCGGAGGCUGCAACUCGCCUCCGUGAAGUUGGAAUCGCUAGUAAUCGCAGGUCAGCAACACUGCGGUGAAUGUGUUCCUGAGCCUUGUACACACCGCCCGUCAAGCCACGAAAGAGGGGAGCGCCCGAAGUCCGAUUCACCUCGGCCGAAGGCGAGACCCUUGAUUGGGACUAAGUCGUAACAAGGUAACCCUA